AAGCUUACCUGGCGCCGGGUUAUGAGUGAUCAGGAAUGCUCUGACCCCGGGUGGAGGCUCACCGUUGCAUUUCGGUGGGUUGAAACUCUCGAUGAACCCUAAUCAGGUGCGCUCGGGCGUGUAGUUUAUAUAUAUAUAUAUAUAUAUAUAUAUAUAUAUAUG
rnacentral:snRNA from 1 species